rnacentral:misc_RNA from 1 species
GAAAUGCGAUAAGUAAUGUGAAUUGCAGAAUUCAGUGAAUCAUCGAAUCUUUGAACGCACCUUGCGCUCCUUGGUAUUCCGAGGAGCAUGCCUGUUUGAGUGUCAUGGAAUUCUCAACUCUAUUUGCUUUUGUGAAUAGAGCUUGGAUUUGGAGGUUUAUUGCUGGUACUUGUGAUCGGCUCCUCUUGAAUGCAUUAGCUCGAACCUUUGCGGAUCAGCUAUCGGUGUGAUAAUUGUCUACGCCGUUGCAGUGAAGCAUAUCAAUGGGCUCGGCUUCCAAUCGUCCUUUACUGGACAAUGACUUUGACCUUUGACCUCAAAUCAGGUAGGAUUACCCGCUGACCUUCAGC